rnacentral:rRNA from 1 species
AUUGAACGCUGGCGGCAGGCCUAACACAUGCAAGUCGAGCGGAGCGGCGGACGGGCGAGUAAUGCAUAGGAAUCUGCCUGGCCGUGGGGGAGAACGUCCGGCUAGGGACGCUAAUUCAUCACGCUUUCCGUCGAGUCUAGGUUGGAUUAGCUAGUUGGUGGGGUAACGGCCUACCAAGGCGACGAUCCGUAACUGGUCUGAGAGGAUGAUCAGUCACACUGGAACUGAGACACGGUCCAGACUCCUACGGGAGGCAGCAGUGGGGAAUAUUGCACAAUGGGCGAAAGCCUGAUGCAGCCAUGCCGCGUGUGUGAAGAAGGUCUUCGGGUUGUAAAGCACUUUAAGUUAGGAGGCGUUACCCGCAGAAUAAGCACCGGCUAACUCCGUGCCAGCAGCCGCGGUAAUUC